rnacentral:rRNA from 1 species
AACGAACGCUGGCGGCAUGCCUAACACAUGCAAGUCGAACGAGACCUCCGGGUCUAGUGGCGCACGGGUGCGUAACGCGUGGGAACCUGCCCUUAGGUUCGGAAUAACUCCCCGAAAGGGGUGCUAAUACCGGAUAAUGUCUUCGGACCAAAGAUUUAUCGCCUUUGGAUGGGCCCGCGUUGGAUUAGCUAGUUGGUGGGGUAAAAGCCUACCAAGGCGACGAUCCAUAGCUGGUCUGAGAGGAUGAUCAGCCACACUGGGACUGAGACACGGCCCAGACUCCUACGGGAGGCAGCAGUGGGGAAUAUUGGACAAUGGGCGAAAGCCUGAUCCAGCAAUGCCGCGUGAGUGAUGAAGGCCUUAGGGUUGUAAAGCUCUUUUACCCGGGAUGAUAAUGACAGUACCGGGAGAAUAAGCUCCGGCUAACUCCGUG